AAUAUAUAGUUUUUGUUCAUGAUAUCAACAAGUGUCCCUGGUGUAGAUCUUGGUGGUAGUAGCAAAUAUUCAAAUAAGAACUUUGAAGAGUGAAGUGGGGAAAUGUUCUAUGUGAACAUCACUUGGACAUGGGUUAGUUGAUGCUAAGAGAUGGGGAAUCCUUGUAUCAAGGGUGCAAUCUUCAUGAACAUUGAAAGAGAAUUGGGUUAAUAUUCCCGAACCGGGACAUGGUGGUGGACGACAAUGUUAGGAAAUAUGGAGAUUUCAUCGGGGGCCUGGGAAGAGUUAUAUUUUCUUUUUAACGACUUUCCCACCUUGAAAUCGGUUCAACCAGAGAUAGGGUCCAACAUCUGGAAGAACACCACAUGUCUUGUGGUGUUUGGUGCCCCCUCGGUCGCCAUUGAAAAUAUGGAGAAUUGAGUACCACCCAUGCCCGAUUGUACUCAUAUAUGCCUCCUUGGGUGCUUCAAUGCCCACUAGGU
rfam:Picea glauca, whole genome shotgun sequence.